GACGAACGCUGGCGGCGUGCUUAACACAUGCAAGUCGAACGGAAAGGCCCUGCUUGCAGGGUACUCGAGUGGCGAACGGGUGAGUAACACGUGGGUGAUCUGCCCUGCACUUCGGGAUAAGCCUGGGAAACUGGGUCUAAUACCGGAUAGGAGCCAUUUUUAGUGUGAUGGUUGGAAAGUUUUUUCGGUGUAGGAUGAGCUCGCGGCCUAUCAGCUUGUUGGUGGGGUAAUGGCCUACCAAGGCGGCGACGGGUAGCCGGCCUGAGAGGGUGGACGGCCACAUUGAGACUGAGAUACGGCCCAGACUCCUACGGGAGGCAGCAGUGGGGAAGAUUGCACAAUGGGCGCAAGCCUGAUGCAGCGACGCCGCGUGGGGGAUGACGGCCUUCGGGUUGUAAACUCCUUUCGCUAGGGACGAAGCUUUUUGUGACGGUACCUAGAUAAGAAGCACCGGCUAACUACGUG
rnacentral:rRNA from 1 species